GUAAGCUACUAAGAGCGAAUGGUGGAUGCCUUGACUGGUAAAGGCGAUGAAGGACGUACUAGACUGCGAUAAGCUACGGGGAGCUGUCAAGAAGCUUUGAUCCGUAGAUUUCCGAAUGGGGCAACCCAAUGUAUAGAGAUAUACAUUACCUAUAUAGGAGCGAACGAGGGGAAUUGAAACAUCUUAGUACCCUCAGGAAAAGAAAUCAAUAGAGAUUGCGUCAGUAGCGGCGAGCGAAAGCGCAAGAGGGCAAACCCAGUGCUUGCACUGGGGGUUGUAGGACUGCAAUGUGCAAGAGGUAAGUUUAGCAGAACAUUCUGGAAAGUAUAACCAUAGAGGGUGAUAGUCCCGUAUGCGAAAAACAAACCUUAGCUAGCAGUAUCCUGAGUAGGGCGGGACACGAGGAAUCCUGUCUGAAUCCGGGUCGACCACGAUCCAACCCUAAAUACUAAUACCAGAUCGAUAGUGCACAAGUACCGUGAGGGAAAGGUGAAAAGAACUGAGGUGAUCAGAGUGAAAUAGAACCUGAAACCAUUUGCUUACAAUCAUUCAGAGCCCUAUGUAGCAAUACAGGGUGAUGGACUGCCUUUUGCAUAAUGAGCCUGCGAGUUGUGGUGUCUGGCAAGGUUAAGCAAACGCGAAGCCGUAGCGAAAGCGAGUCUGAAUAGGGCGCUUAGUCAGAUGCUGCAGACCCGAAACGAAGUGAUCUAUCCAUGAGCAAGUUGAAGCUAGUGUAAGAACUAGUGGAGGACUGAACCCAUAGGCGUUGAAAAGCCCCGGGAUGACUUGUGGAUAGGGGUGAAAGGCCAAUCAAACUUCGUGAUAGCUGGUUCUCUCCGAAAUAUAUUUAGGUAUAGCGUUGUGUCGUAAUAUAAGGGGGUAGAGCACUGAAUGGGCUAGGGCAUACACCAAUGUACCAAACCCUAUCAAACUCCGAAUACCUUAUAUGUAAUCACAGCAGUCAGGCGGCGAGUGAUAAAAUCCGUCGUCAAGAGGGAAACAACCCAGACUACCAGCUAAGGUCCCUAAAUCUUACUUAAGUGGAAAACGAUGUGAAGUUACUUAAACAACCAGGAGGUUGGCUUAGAAGCAGCCAUCCUUUAAAGAAAGCGUAAUAGCUCACUGGUCUAGUGAUUUUGCGCGGAAAAUAUAACGGGGCUAAAGUAAGUACCGAAGCUGUAGACUUGCACACAACUUAGAUUAUUUAAGUUUAGAAUAUGAGAAACUAAGUUAUAUGUUUAGUUAUAUUUUUACUGAUUUUUAUAGAGUAAAGAUAGAAAUAAAACUUAGUAAAAUCAGUAAAAAUAUUCUUAGACUAAAGUUAAGUAGUUUAAGUUGUGUGCAAGUGGUAGGAGAGCGUUCUAUUUGCGUCGAAGGUAUACCGGUAAGGAGUGCUGGAGCGAAUAGAAGUGAGCAUGCAGGCAUGAGUAGCGAUAAUUAAUGUGAGAAUCAUUAACGCCGUAAACCCAAGGUUUCCUACGCGAUGCUCGUCAUCGUAGGGUUAGUCGGGUCCUAAGUCGAGUCCGAAAGGGGUAGACGAUGGCAAAUUGGUUAAUAUUCCAAUACCAACAUUAGUGUGCGAUGGAAGGACGCUUAGGGCUAAGGGGGCUAGCGGAUGGAAGUGCUAGUCUAAGGUCGUAGGAGGUUAUACAGGCAAAUCCGUAUAACAAUACUCCGAGAACUGAAAGGCUUUUUGAAGUCUUCGGAUGGAUAGAAGAACCCCUGAUGCCGUCGAGCCAAGAAAAGUUUCUAAGUUUAGCUAAUGUUGCCCGUACCGUAAACCGACACAGGUGGGUGGGAUGAGUAUUCUAAGGCGCGUGGAAGAACUCUCUUUAAGGAACUCUGCAAAAUAGCACCGUAUCUUCGGUAUAAGGUGUGGUUAGCUUUGUAUUAGGAUUUACUCCGAAAGCAAGGAAACUUACAACAAAGAGUCCCUCCCGACUGUUUACCAAAAACACAGCACUCUGCUAACUCGUAAGAGGAUGUAUAGGGUGUGACGCCUGCCCGGUGCUCGAAGGUUAAUUGAUGGGGUUAGCAUUAGCGAAGCUCUUGAUCGAAGCCCGAGUAAACGGCGGCCGUAACUAUAACGGUCCUAAGGUAGCGAAAUUCCUUGUCGGUUAAAUACCGACCUGCAUGAAUGGCGUAACGAGAUGGGAGCUGUCUCAAAGAGGGAUCCAGUGAAAUUGUAGUGGAGGUGAAAAUUCCUCCUACCCGCGGCAAGACGGAAAGACCCCGUGGACCUUUACUACAGCUUGACACUGCUACUUGGAUAAGAAUGUGCAGGAUAGGUGGGAGGCUUUGAGUAUAUGACGCCAGUUGUAUAUGAGCCAUUGUUGAGAUACCACUCUUUCUUAUUUGGGUAGCUAACCAGCUUGAGUUAUCCUCAAGUGGGACAAUGUCUGGUGGGUAGUUUGACUGGGGCGGUCGCCUCCCAAAUAAUAACGGAGGCUUACAAAGGUUGGCUCAGAACGGUUGGAAAUCGUUCGUAGAGUAUAAAGGUAUAAGCCAGCUUAACUGCAAGACAUACAAGUCAAGCAGAGACGAAAGUCGGUCUUAGUGAUCCGGUGGUUCUGUGUGGAAGGGCCAUCGCUCAAAGGAUAAAAGGUACCCCGGGGAUAACAGGCUGAUCUCCCCCAAGAGCUCACAUCGACGGGGAGGUUUGGCACCUCGAUGUCGGCUCAUCGCAUCCUGGGGCUGGAGCAGGUCCCAAGGGUAUGGCUGUUCGCCAUUUAAAGCGGUACGCGAGCUGGGUUCAGAACGUCGUGAGACAGUUCGGUCCCUAUCUGCCGUGGGCGUAAGAAGAUUGAAGAGAUUUGACCCUAGUACGAGAGGACCGGGUUGAACAAACCACUGGUGUAGCUGUUGUUCUGCCAAGAGCAUCGCAGCGUAGCUAAGUUUGGAAAGGAUAAACGCUGAAAGCAUCUAAGCGUGAAGCCAACUCUAAGAUGAAUC
rnacentral:rRNA from 1 species